GAGCCUCGAUGGCGAGAGGCCCAGGAUGCGCCACCAGGCCGGGCUCACUUCUUUGACGCCGAAUAAACUGACAAAACAAUUAGCUGGCCGGCUGGGGAAGGUGGUGGGUGACUCAAAUGCCAGUCGGCUGCGUGCCCCCGCGCUUAGAUGAGUCUGGGAUUCUGGGCAGUUGGGACUUUCUUUUCAGGAAAGGAGGUGAGAGGUGCCGGGGAAGCCCACACGAGCAGCCACUCUUGGAGAAAUGGGGAAUGGCGCUGUAAAAGCGCAGGCCCUCCUCCUCCUCCUUUCUCCCCAUCACACAAAAAGGAUGGGCCUUGAAAGGGAUGAGUUUAUUAUGCACUUUUAAAUGCCUAUUCAGAAAAGAACAGGAGGCAAAAAUAAAGAUGCUUCCCACCCCACCAAUUCCCUUCCCUCGAAGAAAAAAGGAAAGAGAAAGCAACCCACAAAGAAUGGAAACCGAUCCUAGACAUCUGUGAAACGUAUCUUAAAAAUUCCACUACUGAGUUGGGAAAAGCAGAGAGUUCAUGUUUACUUCAUUGGCGAAGUCCAGUUGAAUCUACUUAACUCGACCAGCUUUAAUCCAAUCUAAUAAACCAUGA
rnacentral:lncRNA from 1 species